CAGCAGUAGCCGCGGGAAUACGGAGGGAGCUAGCGUUGUUCGGAAUUACUGGGCGUAAAGCGCGCGUAGGCGGUUACUCAAGUCAGAGGUGAAAGCCCGGGGCUCAACCCCGGAACUGCCUUUGAAACUAGGUGACUAGAAUCUUGGAGAGGUCAGUGGAAUUCCGAGUGUAGAGGUGAAAUUCGUAGAUAUUCGGAAGAACACCAGUGGCGAAGGCGACUGACUGGACAAGUAUUGACGCUGAGGUGCGAAAGCGUGGGGAGCAAACAGGAUUAGAGACCCCUGUAGUCCCUGUCUCUUAUAA
rnacentral:rRNA from 1 species